UCAGCCUGGCUGUCGGCCUGAGCCAUUUCCUGUUUCCUGAACAUUUAUCUUCUGCACAUUCAUGCUUUUUUCUCAUAUUGUCCCCCUGCCUGGAAUACCUCUUUCUUCCAGAAUCCUACUGGCAAACUUCUUGUCUUUCCAAACUCACUUCAAGAAUAACCAUUCCUUCCUCUGGCAUUCCCCGACUCUCCAUGUUCUCCUCUGCUUGGAGGACUCUGUACCUCCCUCUCUUCUGUGAUGUGUGAUGGUGAUAAUGGUGAUGAAGAUAAUGGUGAUGGUGACAAUGAAGAUAGUGGCAGCUUACCCUUACGGACCACUUCACCAGGCACUAGGAAUUAGACCUUUACGAGAAGCACAGUUUUGUCUUCAGUUUCCUCUCCCCCCACCCGGAAUGGCCUGAGCCGAAGCCAGCUCCCUCCGAGAAGCCAUUACCGCCUGAUGCUGGCUCCCUAUCCCCUGUCCACCAUGAGUCAAAGUAACGUGAGUCCCUCACCAGAUGCAACUGCCCAGUCUUGGACUUUCCAGCGACUGGAAUCAUGAGCCAAAUAAACCUCUUUUCUUUAUGAA